rnacentral:antisense_RNA from 1 species
UUGAAAUGUUAUUCACAUACCAUAAACUUCACCCAUUUAAAGUGUACAUUUCAGUGAUUUUUAGAUAUAUUCACAGGGUUUUGCAACCAUCACUGUUAAUAAUUCCAGAACACCUUUUCACUUAGAAAGCCUGUAUUCUUUUUUUUUUUUUUUUGAGAUGGAGUCUCACUCUGUCACCCAGGCUGGCGUGUGGUACACUUUCGUUCACUGCAACCUCCGCCUCUCAGGUUCAAGCAAUUUUCCUGCCUCAGCCUCCCAAGUAGCUGGGAUUACAGGCGCACACCACCACGCCCAGCUUAGUUUUGUAUAUAUUUUGUAGAGACAGGGUUUUGCGAUGUUGCCCAGGCUGGUCUCAAACUGGGCUCAAGCGAUCCACCUGCCUUGGCCUCCCAAGGUGCUGGGAUUACAGGUCAGCUUCAUAGUAAGAUUUGGUAUUUGUGGACCUAGGUCUGUGUGAUAUUUCUCUUUCUUCUUUUCCUGAAAGUCUUUAUAAUUCAAAUUUAGAAUUAGAUUCUUCAAGUGUUUUUUUUGUUUUUUGUUUUUUUUUAAUCUGUAGAAUUCUAGCAAAUUGGUUAAAAGUCAAGUUCAUGGGAGAUGAAGGCUCAGUGGAUGACACAUCCAGCGAUGCUGGUGGGAUUCAGACGCUUUCGCUUUUCAACUCACUUAGCAGCAAAGGGGAUCAGAUGAUUU